CCUGAGGUCAGGCAAGAACACCCGCUGAACUUAAGCAUAUCAAUAAGCGGAGGAA
rnacentral:rRNA from 1 species